rnacentral:rRNA from 1 species
UACGUAGGGUCCGAGCGUUGUCCGGAAUUACUGGGCGUAAGAGCUCGUAGGUGGUUUGUCGCGUUGUUCGUGAAACUCACAGCUCAACUGUGGCGUGCGGCGAUACGGGCAGACUAGAGGUAGGCAGGGAGAGCGGAACUCCUGGUGUAGCGGUGGAAUGCGCAGAUAUCAGGAAGAACACCGGUGGCGAAGGCGGCUCUCUGGGCCUUACCUGACGCUGGAGGAAGCGAAAGCGUGGUAGCGAACAGG